rnacentral:rRNA from 1 species
AUAAGAGGUCCCGCCUGCCCUGUGACUUAAGGUUUAACGGCCGCGGUAUUUUGACCGUGCGAAGGUAGCGCAAUCACUUGUCCUUUAAAUGAGGACCUGUAUGAAUGGCACAACGAGGGCUAAACUGUCUCCCCCCUCUAGUCAAUGAAAUUGAUCUCCUCGUGCAGAAGCGAGGAUACCCCUAUAAGACGAGAAGACCCUAUGGAGCUUUAGACAUUAAACAGCCCAUUUAAGAAAAUCAGCAUAAAGAAAAUUAACACAAUGAAAUCCCUGUUGGAAUGUCUUUGGUUGGGGCGACCGUGGAAAAAACAAAACACCCAUGAGGAUUGGGGAUACCCCCUAACACUAAGAGCCACAGCUCUAAGUAACAGAACUUCUGACCUAAAUGAUCCGGCUCCCUGCCGAUCAACGAACCGAGUUACCCUAGGGAUAACAGCGCAAUCCCCUCCCAGAGCCCCUAUCGACGAGAGGGUUUACGACCUCGAUGUUGGAUCAGGACAUCCUAAUGGUGCAGCCGCUAUUAAGGGUUCGUUUGUUCAACGAUUAAUC